AUUGAACGCUGGCGGCAUGCCUUACACUUGCAAGUCGAACGGCAGCAUGAUCUAGCUUGCUAGAUUGAUGGCGAGUGGCGAACGGGUGAGUAAUACAUCGGAACGUGCCCUGUAGUGGGGGAUAACUAGUCGAAAGAUUAGCUAAUACCGCAUACGACCUGAGGGUGAAAGUGGGGGACCGCAAGGCCUCAUGCUAUAGGAGCGGCCGAUGUCUGAUUAGCUAGUUGGUGAGGUAAAGGCUCACCAAGGCGACGAUCAGUAGCUGGUCUGAGAGGACGAUCAGCCACACUGGGACUGAGACACGGCCCAGACUCCUACGGGAGGCAGCAGUGGGGAAUUUUGGACAAUGGGCGAAAGCCUGAUCCAGCAAUGCCGCGUGUGUGAAGAAGGCCUUCGGGUUGUAAAGCACUUUUGUCCGGAAAGAAAUGGCUCUGGUUAAUACCUGGGGUCGAUGACGGUACCGGAAGAAUAAGGACCGGCUAACUACGUG
rnacentral:rRNA from 1 species